AAAGAAGGCAUCUUCUUGUUUUUAAAGACCUAGCAAUAGGUAUGCUUAGGGAGGAGCUUGCGUCACAUUAGUUAGUUGGUGGGGUAAAGGCCUACCAAGACUAUGAUGUGUAGCCGGGCUGAGAGGUUGAACGGCCACAUUGGGACUGAGACACGGCCCAAACUCCUACGGGAGGCAGCAGUAGGGAAUUUUCGGCAAUGGAGGAAACUCUGACCGAGCAACGCCGCGUGAACGAUGAAGUAUUUCGGUACGGUAAAGUUCUUUUAUUAGGGAAGAAUAAAUGAUGGAAAAAUCAUUCUGACGGUACCUAAUGAAUAAGCCCCGGCUAACUAUGUGCCAGCAGCCGCGGUAAUACAUAGGGGGCAAGCGUUAUCCGGAAUUAUUGGGCGUAAAGGGUGCGUAGGCGGUUAAAUAAGUUUAUGGUCUAAGUGCAAUGCUCAACAUUGUGAUGCUAUAAAAACUGUUUAGCUAGAGUAAGAUAGAGGCAAGUGGAAUUCCAUGUGUAGUUGGUAAAAUGCGUAAAUAUAUGGAGGAACACCAGUAGCGAAGGCGGCUUGCUGGGUCUUUACUGACGCUGAGGCACGAAAGCGUGGGGAGCAAACAGGAUUAGAUACCCUGGUAGUCCACGCCGUAAAACGAUGAGUACUAAACGUUGGGUAAAACCAGUGUUGAAGUUAACACAUUAAGUACUCCGCCUGAGUAGUACGUACGCAAGUAUGAAACUUAAAGGAAUUGACGGGACUCCGCACAAGCGGUGGAUCAUGUUGUUUAAUUCGAAGGUACCCGAAAAUCCUCACCAGGUCCUUGACAUGCUUCUGCAAAGCUGUAGAAACACAGUGGAGGUUAUCAGUUGCACAGGUGGUGCAUGGUUGUCGUCAGCUCGUGUCGUGAGAUGUUGGGUUAAGUCCCGCAACGAGCGCAACCCUUAUUGUUAGUUACCAGCACGUAAUGGUGGGGACUUUAGCAAGACUGCCAGUGAUAAAUUGGAGGAAGGUGGGGACGACGUCAAAUCAUCAUGCCCCUUAUGACCUGGGCUACAAACGUGAUACAAUGGCUGUUACAAAGGGUAGCUGAAGCGCAAGUUUUUGGCGAAUCUCAAAAAAACAGUCUCAGUUCGGAUUGAAGUCUGCAACUCGACUUCAUGAAGUGGAAUCGCAAGUAAUCGGGAAUUAGC
rnacentral:rRNA from 1 species